GACGAACGCUGGCGGCGUGCCUAAUACAUGCAAGUAGAACGCAGUUGCGCACGGGUGAGUAACGCGUAGGUAACUGCCUCAUAGCGGGGGGUAACUAUUGGAAACGCUAGCUCAUACCGCAUAUUGUAAGCUGGACCUGCGUGGUGUUAGCGAGUUGGUGGGGUAAAGGCCCACGAAGGCGACGAUCCAUAGCCGACCUGAGAGGGGGAUCGGCCACACUGGGACUGAGACACGGCCCAGACUCCUACGGGAGGCAGCAGUGGGGAAUCUUCCGCAAUGGACGGAAGGCUGACCGAGCAACGCCGCGUGAGUGAAGAAGGUUUUCGGGUCGUAAAGCUCUGUUGUUAGGGAAGCGGUACCUAACCAGAAAGGGACGGCUAACUACGUGCCAGCAGCCGCGGUAAUUC
rnacentral:rRNA from 1 species